AGAGGAGGCGCCUCUCACUGCUCUGCCGGAAAACUGCAGCCUGCGCUCCUGAUUGGACUCACCGAGCCCUAAACAAACAGCGCUCGCCGAAGGGUGCCAGGCUGUGGGUCGGAACUGCUCUCUCCAGGCUGCUGGGUGCGGAGGAUUUCUUCCGACAAGCUGGACACUGGAAGGCUGCAGAAGGGGAACUAACUGGACAGGAGGAACUCUCUUAUUGGAAUGGAUUUUUACACACACGCCCCAGUUGGAGAAAGGAGAGCGGUCCAAGCAGAGUUGAACAUGAAUACAUGGGUGCGCUGUAAAAUACGAUUUCGAGAAGGUGCGAGACCUCGCUGCGAAGAGGUCGUUUCCUUGAACUGUACCUGUGCGCUGGCGGAGAAGGGGCAGAACUUGCUGG